rnacentral:rRNA from 1 species
AGUGAACGCUGGCGGUAGGCCUAACACAUGCAAGUCGAACGGCAGCACAGUAAGAGCUUGCUCUUACGGGUGGCGAGUGGCGGACGGGUGAGGAAUACAUCGGAAUCUACUUUUUCGUGGGGGAUAACGUAGGGAAACUUACGCUAAUACCGCAUACGACCUACGGGUGAAAGCAGGGGAUCUUCGGACCUUGCGCGAUUGAAUGAGCCGAUGUCGGAUUAGCUAGUUGGCGGGGUAAAGGCCCACCAAGGCGACGAUCCGUAGCUGGUCUGAGAGGAUGAUCAGCCACACUGGAACUGAGACACGGUCCAGAAUCCUACGGGAGGCAGCAGUGGGGAAUAUUGGAAAAUGGGCGCAAGCCUGAUCCAGCCAUACCGCGUGGGUGAAGAAGGCCUUCGGGUUGUAAAGCCCUUUUGUUGGGAAAGAAAAGCAGCAGGUUAAUACCCCGCUGUUCUGACGGUACCCAAAGAAUAAGCACCGGCUAACUUCGU